rnacentral:rRNA from 1 species
GAUGAACGCUGGCGGCGUGCCUAAUACAUGCAAGUCGAGCGAACAGACGAGGAGCUUGCUCCUUUGACGUUAGCGGCGGACGGGUGAGUAACACGUGGAUAACCUACCUAUAAGACUGGGAUAACUUCGGGAAACCGGAGCUAAUACCGGAUAACAUGUUGAACCGCAUGGUUCAACAGUGGAAGACGGUCUUGCUGUCACUUAUAGAUGGAUCCGCGCCGCAUUAGCUAGUUGGUAAGGUAACGGCUUACCAAGGCAACGAUGCGUAGCCGACCUGAGAGGGUGAUCGGCCACACUGGAACUGAGACACGGUCCAGACUCCUACGGGAGGCAGCAGUAGGGAAUCUUCCGCAAUGGGCGAAAGCCUGACGGAGCAACGCCGCGUGAGUGAAGAAGGUCUUCGGAUCGUAAAACUCUGUUAUUAGGGAAGAACAAAUGUGUAAGUAACUAUGCACGUCUUGACGGUACCUAAUCAGAAAGCCACGGCUAACUACGUG